GGCAGUUGAACGUUUGUCCUGGGACUGUCUGAGCUUCUCCCUGUACAGAUAGAUACUAACACACAUACGCAGAAAACAUAUCAGAACUUCAAGGCCGUCUAGCCCUAGCUAGAAUUUUAUCAGUAUGGUUUGUUACACACACACUAUGAAGUCAUCAUCUUAGAGAGUAGAAGUACAGCAUAAAGCAGGAUUCUUUAAUAUCUCAUAAGCGCACAUAAGGUUACACAUUUUACUCUUGCCAUAACUUGAUUAAUAGUCAAACAAGAAAUAAUGUAAUAAUAUAAUUAAUAUCAAUAUGAAGGAUAUAGCAACUCGGCAUCCACUCCUUCAGUCCCCCGUUUUAGACCAAUGUGGGGUCCAAUACCCCACGUCUGGUCUACCAAAUAUUGUCAGGUGGAGUCGUGAUGCAUGCUAAUAAUGCAGGCUGUUGCCCAGCUUAAACUUUUCAGAAAUGACAUGUACUUUUUAUUUGUAUUUUUACUUUAUUUUUGCAACGGAAAUGUUUCUCAAAGUUCUUUGCAGUCCUUGUCAUUACUUUUAAAUCAACUUGUAUGUAUUCAUUCACUUAAUUCUGGCCAUGGCUUUGGAAUUUCAACAAUGGUUUUAAAUCUGUCAGGGGUUAUCUGACCCAGAUAUGUUACUUCGGGUCAUGCUAGCUGUGCUUUCUUUAAAUUAACUUUGAAACCCCCAUUUAUGUUACUUGUUUACAACAUUAUCAUCUCAUAUGCAAACAAUAAUUUUUGACUGGAAAUUGGCAAUUUUCCACUCAGAACAUGUCUCUGUUACUUUUACAGCUUAAACCAGAGUCAUGGUGGGGCUAGCAUGAGAUAAAAACAACUGCUUCAUUGCAGUCAAAGCAAUCUUAUCUUUUAAAGCAAAGCAUAAGCUUCUACGUUUUUCCAAAAUGCUACUGCCAAUUUGUGUGCCUACAGUCUUUUUACCAAUCCAGAAUUCUGUUCAAUAUGCCUUGUCAGGACUUUCAACAAUUAUAUAGGAACUAGAACAGAUCUUAUGAUAUCAUUCUUUGUCAUUUAAACCUUCUAUGCACAAAGAAUCAGAUUAAAUCAUCACUCAGUUACUUCUGGGAUUCUUUUUAACAAAUAGGCACAUACAUUUAGAAAUUUUUAUCUCUCUGGUUCUUUCUUUGUUUAAAGCCAAUUAAGUUUUUGUUUUAACUUUCCAAUCAGAAUCAAAGUUCAGACUGACCAUUCUUUCCAUUAACUCAGAGAAUAUUUUUAAAGUCAGAGCUUCAGAGCCGAGCUGUUUACAGCAUUUGUGCUCUUCUGUUUCAUUGUUUCUAUCAAGGCUGGGCAAGUUACAUAAUUUGUCAGUCAUAUUUCUAUCAUAAACCAAAAAGAGAUUGAGGCGGCGAUCUUACCAACAGCACUUGACUUCUGCGUGAUGAAACUGCAAAGUAUAUUCCAGAAUUUCCAUAUACUGGUCCAAUCCAAUUAGGGUCAUGAAAACAAAAUUUUAGCUCUUUCGGGGUUGUUCCUGAUGCAUCCCAGAUCAAUCAAUCCUUUCCCUUAACCUAUAUAUCUGUCUGUAUAUGUGCAUAUAGAUUAUCACUAUUUAUUUUUAACUCUAAUUUUUCGGUAUUCUGUUCCCUAACCACUGACCUGACCUAUUCACUAAAGCUCGGGGUACCCCUGUCUGUAAUGGUGGGUGGUCGAGAGUUGGAAGAGCGAUUUACGACUAGAACCCACGCCUAGC
ensembl:lncRNA